rnacentral:rRNA from 1 species
UACAGAGGGGGCCAGCGUUAUUCGGAAUUAUUGGGCGUAAAGGGCGCGUAGGCGGUUCGAUAAGUCCCGUGUGAAAUCCCUCGGCUCAACUGAGGAACUGCACGGGAAACUGACGGGCUUGAGUUCGGGAGAGGGAAGCGGAAUUCCGGGUGUAGCGGUGAAAUGCGUAGAUAUCGUAAGGAAGACCAGUGGCGAAGGCGGGUCUCUGGACAGUUCCUGACGCUGAGGCACGAAGGCCAGGGGAGCAAACGGG